GUGGGGAUAUUGCACAAUGGGCGCAAGCCUGAUGCAGCCAUGCCGCGUGUGUGAAGAAGGCCUUCGGGUUGUAAAGCACUUUCAGUCAGGAGGAAAGGUUAGUAGUUAAUACCUGCUAGCUGUGACGUUACUGACAGAAGAAGCACCGGCUAACUCCGUGCCAGCAGCCGCGGUAAUACGGAGGGUGCGAGCGUUAAUCGGAAUUACUGGGCGUAAAGCGUACGCAGGCGGUUUGUUAAGCGAGAUGUGAAAGCCCCGGGCUCAACCUGGGAACUGCAUUUCGAACUGGCAAACUAGAGUGUGAUAGAGGGUGGUAGAAUUUCAGGUGUAGCGGUGAAAUGCGUAGAGAUCUGAAGGAAUACCGAUGGCGAAGGCAGCCACCUGGGUCAACACUGACGCUCAUGUACGAAAGCGUGGGGAGCAAACGGGAUUAGAUACCCCGGUAGUCCACGCCGUAAACGAUGUCUACUAGAAGCUCGGAGCCUCGGUUCUGUUUUUCAAAGCUAACGCAUUAAGUAGACCGCCUGGGGAGUACGGCCGCAAGGUUAAAACUCAAAUGAAUUGACGGGGGCCCGGG
rnacentral:rRNA from 1 species